GACGAACGCUGGCGGCGUGCUUAACACAUGCAAGUCGAACGGAAAGGCCCUGCUUUUGUGGGGUGCUCGAGUGGCGAACGGGUGAGUAACACGUGAGUAACCUGCCCUUGACUUUGGGAUAACUUCAGGAAACUGGGGCUAAUACCGGAUAGGAGCUCCUGCUGCAUGGUGGGGGUUGGAAAGUUUCGGCGGUUGGGGAUGGACUCGCGGCUUAUCAGCUUGUUGGUGUGGUAGUGGCUUACCAAGGCUUUGACGGGUAGCCGGCCUGAGAGGGUGACCGGCCACAUUGGGACUGAGAUACGGCCCAGACGCCUACGGGAGGCAGCAGGGGGGAAUAUUGCACAAUGGGCGGAAGCCUGAUGCAGCAACGCCGCGUGCGGGAUGACGGCCUUCGGGUUGUAAACCGAUUUCGCCUGUGACGAAGAGUGAGUGACGGUAAUGGGUAAAGAAGCACCGGCUAACUACGUG
rnacentral:rRNA from 1 species